CCCACAGAUUCCUACUGUCCCUUCUGCUUCUCCAGCCCAUCCAAACACUGCCCUUUAUUGGCAGGGAACAUGCUUUCUGUUCCUUGAUCCUUCUCUCGCCUAGCCACAUCCCACAUCUACUCUUCCAAGCAGCUGGAGAAGUGUUGGACUUCCCUUCCUGGGAGGAAUCUUUUGGUUCACCACAAUCUAACUUUAUGGCUUAAACUCUAUGUUGUGAGAUCAUCCAUCACCAGGGUGUUUGCUGAAGGGGUUUUGGAGUCCUGCCCCUCCCCCAGAAUGUUUGGGAACAUGACCCAGUAUUUAUGUAACUGUUGGCUAGGACUUCUGCAUCUCUUACAGUCAUGUGUAGGGCUCGUUGGACAGUCCUGCAAUCUUGGGUGUGGACUUCUUGGAGCUUACAUUGUUUAUCUGGGAGCCAGCCCUAGGACAGAGGACAGAACAGCCAGCUCUUCCCACAAGGUCUGUGUGUACAUCCUGGCAGAGCAAAGCAAAUGGCAGAUGAUGUCUGAUGUUCCUGCUUCAGCUUCCCGGGAACCCUCUGCUUUUCACUGAAUUAUGUUGUCUCCUGAGAACAACAAUUUCCUGCCUGUAGCACUCCAGUGAAAAGUCACAGCUGGAAACCAGUAUCAUUAACUCUGGAUGUUUCCUCUGAAAUGCUCCUGCCUCACUUUCCUGAGCAACGGUUGAAGCCCUACACUGAGCUGAGCUCUGUCUGCUGCAUGGAAUGUGUGUGAAGGCUGGAGGGUGGGAACGUUUUUCUCUAUAGCUCUGCACCUUUAAAUUUUUAUUUACGUUUAAAAA